AGAGUUUGAUCAUGGCUCAGAUUGAACGCUGGCGGCAGGCUUAACACAUGCAAGUCGAGCGGGGGAGGUUGCUUCGGUAACUGACCUAGCGGCGGACGGGUGAGUAAUACUUAGGAAUCUGCCUAUUAAUGGGGGACAACAUCUCGAAAGGGAUGCUAAUACCGCAUACGCCCUACGGGGGAAAGCAGGGGAUCACUUGUGACCUUGCGUUAAUAGAUGAGCCUAAGUCGGAUUAGCUAGUUGGUGGGGUAAAGGCCUACCAAGGCGACGAUCUGUAGCGGGUCUGAGAGGAUGAUCCGCCACGCUGGGACUGAGACACGGCCCAGACUCCUACGGGAGGCAGCAGUGGGGAAUAUUGGACAAUGGGGGGAACCCUGAUCCAGCCAUGCCGCGUGUGUGAAGAAGGCCUUAUGGUUGUAAAGCACUUUAAGCGAGGAGGAGGCUCUUUUGGUUAAUACCCAAGAUGAGUGGACGUUACUCGCAGAAUAAGCACCGGCUAACUCUGUGCCAGCAGCCGCGGUAAUACAGAGGGUGCGAGCGUUAAUCGGAUUUACUGGGCGUAAAGCGUGCGUAGGCGGCUUUUUAAGUCGGAUGUGAAAUCCCCGAGCUUAACUUGGGAAUUGCAUUCGAUACUGGGAGGCUAGAGUAUGGGAGAGGAUGGUAGAAUUCCAGGUGUAGCGGUGAAAUGCGUAGAGAUCUGGAGGAAUACCGAUGGCGAAGGCAGCCAUCUGGCCUAAUACUGACGCUGAGGUACGAAAGCAUGGGGAGCAAACAGGAUUAGAUACCCUGGUAGUCCAUGCCGUAAACGAUGUCUACUAGCCGUUGGGGUCUUUGAGACUUUAGUGGCGCAGCUAACGCGAUAAGUAGACCGCCUGGGGAGUACGGUCGCGAGACUAAAACUCAAAUGAAUUGACGG
rnacentral:rRNA from 1 species